CAAAAAGAUUGUAAACCCAUUGAAAAUUAUUGUAUUUAUACUGCAUGUGUGGAAAUGUUUUUGCAUAACAAAAAUGAAAUCGUCCCAUUACGUACUCGCAUGUUGUCAAGCUUUAAUAACAAAGCCACAUUAAAAUGGUUCAUAUGACAGACUUAUUCUCCUGUAUUGUAAGUUUUCUGAAGCUUUGUAUGAGGAACAGACCACGAUUUAAGAGUUCUCUAAAUUGUUGUGACUGUGGUCACUUGUACCAAGCUUAUUUCUUGGAUGAAUUGUUCCUGAUGCGGGUCAAAUGUUGUGCACUUAUUUGUGUUAAUGUAUGUGUGCAGGUGGCGCUUUUGCUUUGUUACUGCGCUUUUAAAAAGGGCAUUCUGCUUCCAGUGGAUUCAAAUGUAGAGGUGAGUGUUUACUAAUGACAGCAUUCUGUCACUUACUAGAUGCUUUGCUUUUUUUAGCUCCAUAUCUAGUGUCCAUAUCUAACCGUCACUCUCUAACAUAGGUUCUUAUUUAACUCUCUUUCUCUGUCUGUGUCAGUCGGAAGUUACAUCCAUGUUUGCUUUUGUAAAAGAUGAUGCUGAUGGUCUGUCUUUAGAGGAAGGCCUAGAUCAGUUUCUAGCCCAAGACUGUAAGUAGUCGCAUUGUUUUGUGAAUUGGAUAGUUCAAUUAAAUCUAUGCUCUUCUGUUAAUCAUCUGUCUCUCACAUGCGUGCUCUCUGUAGCUUUUAUGAACGUUGUGAACUCUAGCAGCGGCAGCUCGCUGUUAUACACCGAUGACGAGUCUCCGAUCGUAGGCCGGUUUCAACGGCCUCCCAGAGUUCAGUUUCAAGAGCUUUGUACAGUGGCUUCCAGCUCAGACGGCUCUCCAAUGCAGGAUGUUAUGAGCACGCCGCAUUUCCAGCUGAAGAGACUCCGGAAAGAAUUGGCACAUGAGGGAGACGUGAGAGACGAGCUGGAGAAAGAACUGGCUGAUCAGAUCAGCAUCAUCUCAGAGAAGGGUACAAAAGAUCUACCCAUCCAUCACCAUGUUUCUGGAGUGGAGUGAAUGAGACGUAAUGUGGUGGUCUGGUAUGAACUGGUUGAUCUUUUCUCUCUCUUCUGCGCACAGAGGGUGUGAUUUCGCAGUUACAGCACAGGGUGGAGCGAAUGCUGCGGGAACAAGGAGAGCUGGAGAAGGACCAUAAAGCUGCACUGCUGGAGCUCCAGGAGAAGAACGAGAGGUGAGGUGCAAUAAGGGACAUAUUUGGGUUUACAGUAAUUAUUUGAAUAAAAAGUUAUUUUUUUUCUUGUACAGUCUUCUCCACAGAGUGCAUGAGGUUCUAAAGCAAUGCCAAGACUUAAAAACGGACAACUCCCAAAAAGAGAGAAAGAUUGAUGAACUGACAGAGGAGAACGGAGCACUUACUGCACAGGUGAGAUACUGUUUCCUUGUUUUGAACUCCUGCUUAAAAUAAUGUUCAGAUCAGAUCAUUUUCACCUGUCUCUGGUCCCAUCAGGUGCGAAAUGUCCUCGCGCAGCUGGCAAGAGCUGAGGAGGAAGUUGCCAAACUCACGCUGGCUCACGAAUCUGCACAGACCGAGUGGAAGAGCAGAAAAGAGUUUCUGGAGAAGGAGCUGAAUGAGGCCGUCACGCACAAGGUAGAUCAUUUCUUACAUAUUGGAACGCAUUUUUACUCUUAUCAUGUUCUGUAUUCUUUGUGCUCUCUGGUAUUAAUCUGUGUUCUGUUUUCAUUUGGUUCUCUUCGUGCAGGAGAGUCUGAGUGAGCAAGUUCAGAUACUUCAGGGAAAGAUCUCCGUUCUGGAGGAUGAACUACAGAGAGCUCAAUCUCAAGAGAAAGGAGAGGUUUUGGGGCCCAUCAUGGAGGUGAGGUGUUCUGUCUAUCUGUAAAUUUCUUUAAAUAUAUAUAUAUAUUUUUUUGACAAAUUUUUAUAUUUUUAUUUAUAGUUAUUAGUUUUCUGCACUUUAGUUUGAUGUUGC
rnacentral:lncRNA from 12 species